AUGUCCCAGAGGAAGCAGGUGCCGCGCGGUCAGAUGACGUGGAGAUCUGCGCCAGGGACGAAGGAGAAGAUGGAGCCGGGAAGACACCAGGAAGGAGGUGAGAAAGUGAAGACGGAGAUUCUAAUAACAGGCUUGUUGUACUGGAGCGAGCUUAGAAAGUCAGCACCGAGACAAAGCAUGUCCUCAUGUCCGCAGCUAGCACAAGGAAGCCUGCUGUGUCCCUACAAUAAGCAAACAACCAAGGAGCAGUCAUUCUCCCUUGUUCUAGUUCGCAAGCUAAAUGGAGCCUUGGGCCAUCAUUCCUAUAAACUGCUGACUCCAUAAGAAAAUGACUUUAUUCUUGAUUUCCAGAGUAUUGUCACUUUCAGUUGUGAUCAUCUUGUAAGAAAACUAUUGCUUUGCUACCAUGAAUAAACCAGUAAUAGCCUCAGUAAACUUGUUGAUG
rnacentral:lncRNA from 13 species